AUUUAGAUAGUUUAAAAAAAUUUUAGUUUGUGGGGCUAAGGAUAUAGAUAAAAUUCUAUUUUAAAUU
rnacentral:tRNA from 3 species